rnacentral:lncRNA from 1 species
UGUGAUUAGAGGGUUAGAACUUUCAACGCUCCCACCCCCUGACUCCUGGAAAUGGUAGAGUGGCUGGAAAUUGAGUUCAGUGACCCAUGGCUUGUGACUUAAUCAGUCAUAUCUACAUAAUGAACCCUCUAUAAAACCCUCUAAAUGGCAAGAUUCUUUUUGGUGAACACAUCAAGGUGCUGGGAGGUGGCAUGAAAGCUGGAGAAGCCAUGGAAGCUCCACCCCACCCACCAUAUUUUGCCCUGUGUGCCAGUUCUGGGAGGUGGCAAGGUGCUGUAGAAGGCAUGGAAGCUCCACCCCAUCCACGGUAUCUUGCUCUGUGUGUCUUUUCCACUUGGCUGGCCCUGAGUUGCAUCCUUUACAAUAAAACUGCUCAUUCUCCAUUCUGACCAAAGCUUCCCUUCAGGUCACCUGGAUGGAUUCACAUUCAAUGUCAGGACUUGGCUCAUUGUGAAUAAGCCUUCUUAUCCAAUUUGUUCAGUUUGCUUGUGUCUUCAGGCUGAUGAUCAAAAACACUGACUCUGAAAACUGUUAGCUGCUGCCAGUCUGAAAACCUGUUAUGUUUCAACAGAUUGAAACCCUGGUUUCGGUGUCGUAAAAGACGGCGGUCCCCUGCUGCCCUUCCCCCACUCCAACGCUAAUCCACCUGCAGAGGGCCAUCCCCGGAGCUUCUGGGCUGGCAGAUAUAUGGGUCAUGGAGGGAACAAUCAAGAUGUUUUUGGGGUGGGCUUCCUGGCUGCCAGAUCCUGUGCAAGCCAUAGUUUCUUCUGGGAUGGUGGGAGCCUGGUGCAGUGGGCCUGGGACAAGGACUGAAGCUCCAGAUUCUCUGGAGAAAGUGAAAGCUCCUGCCAGGUGCAUUGUCUCAGGAGGCCUGUUGGCUUCCCAGAUUCCCAAAGGUCUGGUGUACAGGUAAGCAGAGGGAAGAGGGGCUGCUGCCCCAGAAACUCCAACCUUGCAGCUCAAGAAGGCUGGGAGGAGAGAGGUCCUAUCUCUGUGCCUGAUUCCCAGACAGGAACUGCUGCCUUGCCACCUGUUGCCCAUUGGAGCAGAGGCUGCUGAACCCCACCACUUGAAGUACCCUUGGGCCCAAUGAGCCUGGAGUUGCCAAAGGAAAAUAAUAAUGCACCCCAAAGGACCUGCACCUAGCAUGAAGAAGAAACAACACUGCAGACUGGGGAGCUCUAGAAAGCCUAGGUGCUGGAGAGCAAGUUGAAUAAAGCUGUGAAGAACAAUUACAGAGAUUCAAUUACACCAUAAGUGGACUUUCUGUUAAACAACAAAUUAACAAAAUGAGAUUAUUUUUACUAGAACUUGGUGUAGAUGAACUGAAGGUUAGAAUAAGUUGACAUUAAGACCCAAGUUACUGGCCUAGAACAAGAAUUGACAAAUUAUAGCUCAUAGGCCAAAUCUGGCUCACCAGCUG